UUACUUUGGGGAAGUGCUUGAGCAGGAGAAGCUUGAAGAAGAUGCUUUCCUAGUCGAAAUCUCCAUGUCCAUAGGCAGCUCGUACUGGUGUCGAUCGACACCAACAACUGAGCAUCGAUCGACAUCAACAUCUGAGCACCGAUCGACAUCAUCAGCCGAGCAUCGAUCGACACCACUUUUAGGAUCUGACAAAACGGUUUGAAUUCAGAGCCACUCAGAUUUUACUGCUCGACACCCGCAUCCUCCCACCC
rnacentral:lncRNA from 1 species